UCAGGUUGUUUUCAGUUUGAUUUGUAAGCUGGUUAUUUAAUUUUAAUCUAAUUUAAGACAAACACUUUGUUUUGCAGCGUCCAACAUGUUCCAGGAGCAAGUCCUUUUGAAAUGAAAAGUAGUUCAUGACAUCCUAAACUUCCACUGGCAUAGUGGUUCAGUGUGUCCUUUGUCCCUGGAUGGUUUAUAUAUUGGAAACUUCCUCAUUUCAUUCAUCCCCAUCUUGACCAGGACUGCCCCUGACUGAGGAGAAGCUGUAUUUCAAUGGGACCUUUCCUGGUUUAAUGAUGGAUGAAUAAAAGCAAGUUGAAAUUCA